rnacentral:tRNA from 14 species
UGUUUGAGAAUCCUGAGGCCAUGGGUUCGAGUCUCUUAUUU